rnacentral:rRNA from 1 species
UACGUAGGCAGCAAGCGUUGUUCGGAAUUACUGGGCGUAAAGAGUGUGUAGGCGGUGCUCUAAGUCUGUUGUGAAAUCUCCCGGCUUAACUGGGAGGGUGCGGCGGAGACUGGAGUGCUAGAGUGUGGGAGAGGUAAGCGGAAUUCCUGGCGUAGCGGUGAAAUGCGUAGAUAUCAGGAGGAACACCUGUGGUGUAGACAGCUUACUGGACCACGACUGACGCUGAGACACGAAAGCGUGGGUAGCAAACAGG